rfam:Dipodomys ordii contig_37095, whole genome shotgun sequence.
GGUGGCUUAGUGGUAGAGCGCUUGCCUCACAAGCAUGAAGCCCUGGGUUCAAUUCCUCAGCACCA